UACAGAGGUCUCAAGCGUUGUUCGGAUUCAUUGGGCGUAAAGGGUGUGUAGGUGGCGCCGUAAGUCGGGUGUGAAAUCUUGGAGCUUAACUCCGAAACUGCAUUCGAUACUGCCGUGCUUGAGGACUGGAGAGGAGACUGGAAUUCAUGGUGUAGCAGUGAAAUGCGUAGAGAUCAUGAGGAAGACCAGUGGCGAAGGCGGGUCUCUGGACAGUUCCUGACACUGAGACACGAAGGCCAGGGGAGCAAACGGG
rnacentral:rRNA from 1 species